ensembl:lncRNA
GCAGGGGGGGCGGGGGGUCCCCUCCGCCGGGCUGGGGGCAGAGCCGGGGCUCGGGGGCUGGGGGCUGGCAGGGGCUGGGGGCGUUGGUGGCCGGGACGAUGCGGGGUGGGGGGCACAGACCCCGGCCCGAGCCCCCCCCCGCCGCUGCCAGAGGAGCCGCGAGGGCCGGUGAACAGCCCCCCGUCGGCUGGGACAAAAGGCUGGCGCAGAAAUGUCACUGCCAGCCGGAGCGGGGGGUCGAGGCGCCGGGAGGUGACCCCGGCGUGCCGCCGCACCACGACCCCCGUGGGGCCUCGUCGGGUCCCCCCGGCCCCUGGCAGCCCCGUCCCGUGGCACCAGCAGGGCCGGCGGUGCUCUCUGCGAGCCAGCAGCACCCCUCUGCCUCAGUUUCCCCCAAACUGGGCUGACUUUCGGAGGGGACUGGGGACGGCAGCGCUGUUUCUCCUCGAGCCGUCCUCCCCGGAGCCACCGGCAUCACCGGAGCUGCUGGGAGCCACGACCGACACCGGGAGCUCUCCUGCCGGGGUGCCCCCGGGCUGCCCCAUCUUUCAGGGACUCCCUGCUGCCCUCUUUCACCUCCUUUGCCCUCAAAAUCUGAGCCUCGCUCGUGAGGCAGAGCGUGCCAGGCUGGCGGGGUACCCAGGGACGAGCUGGCUGGCAGCAAGCACCGCGAGCGCUGGCACCGGGGAGCUCCGGGCAUCACCGCGACGGGUGCUGAGGCACCCGCAGAGCAAACCCCACAGCCUGGAGGGGAACCCGGGGCCGAGCUCCAACAGCGGGGGCCCCUCCAACGUCCCCCCAUCCCGCUCCCGACGGCAUCUGGCUGGCCUCAAGGCGGGGGAGCCCGGCCAGCAGCAUCGCCCUGGCGAGGGGGGGCCGUGGCCAUGCGCCCGCGCCGGGGGCCGAGCCAGCAGCGCGCUGGCAGGACAAGCGGCCUCCCGCCCCGCGGAUAAGCGGCGCGGAGCAGGGGCGAAGGGUUUGUUGUGUCUGCCGCCGGCCCAAGGAUUUUCCCAGGCCCCGGAGCGCUCGCACCCGCCGUGA